rnacentral:tRNA from 1 species
GGGCGGGUGGCGGAAUGGCAGACGCGCAGGACUCAAAAUCCUGUGAGAGCAAUCUCGUGAGGGUUCGACUCCCUCUUCGCCCA